rnacentral:lncRNA from 1 species
UCGAACCCUAUGUAGGUUACCUACGUAUCAUGACCCCGCAUGAAGCAGAUCUUUAUGUAGUUCUGCAAGAUCAUGCAUAAAAUAAGCAAACUGACAUUCUCUUUUUCUUUCCUUUUUUUUUUCUUUUCUUUUCGUAUUGUUUGUUGUUUUUUUAGAGUACAAAAUCAGAAUAUAAAUUUACUGUCUUUAAAAUUCAAGUUACAAAAGUACUAUUACUUUGCAAAUCAAAACAAAAAAAAAGUACUAUUACUUGCAACUAAACUUCAAUAAUCAAGUACAAAAAGAACAAACAGUUGCCUUUUGAUGGAUCUCAACAUGUACUGAGAACGGAGCUCAUAGGGGACAAGGAGGGAUUUUUGUUGCUUUAUUUGUUAGAAAGGGACCGAACACUCCAGCCAAGCACAACAGAGUGUUGAAAACACUUUACGAGCUAUUCAAAUAAAAGAACAAAUCGUUUCUUCCUCUUCAAAACUUUCGGUUUGUUCUUGCAGUCCUAGUUUAUACUUCUUCCAAACAGGCAAUUCACAAAUGAUAAAAUCCUAGAGACAAUACCGGGGAUACUUGGUACUUGAACACACCUCCUUAGUGUUAAUCUGUGUCAAAUGACCCCAAAACAACAAGCUCUGAAACAAGAACCUGAAAAUAGUUUUUCACUAAUGAACCUUACUAAAAAUACCAUUGAUAAAUCACAAGUAGGG